rnacentral:rRNA from 1 species
AUUGAACGCCGGCGGCAGGCUUAACACAUGCAAGUCGAGCGGAGUGAUGGUGCUUGCACUAUCACUUAGCGGCGGACGGGUGAGUAAUGCUUAGGAAUCUGCCAUUUAGUGGGGGACAACAUUCCGAAAGGAAUGCUAAUACCGCAUACGUCCUACGGGAGAAAGCAGGGGAUCUUCGGACCUUGCGCUAAAUGAUGAGCCUAAGUCGGAUUAGCUAGUUGGUGGGGUAAAGGCCUACCAAGGCGACGAUCUGUAGCGGGUCUGAGAGGAUGAUCCGCCACACUGGGACUGGGAAACGGCCCAGACUCCUACGGGAGGCAGCAGUGGGGAAUAUUGGACAAUGGGCGGAAGCCUGAUCCAGCCAUGCCGCGUGUGUGAAGAAGGCCUUUUGGUUGUAAAGCACUUUAAGCGAGGAGGAGGCUCUUCUAGUUAAUACCUAGGAUGAGUGGACGUUACUCGCAGAAUAAGCACCGGCUAACUCUGUGCCAGCCGCCGCCGUAAAAC